AAAACUAUUUCGAUGGAGAUAGGCGAAGCACAUAGGAAUCUUAAGAGAGCUGAUGGGUGGUGAGAAUCAGCGGUUCCGGUCCUUUGCAGCACUCCUGAAUAGAUGGACUGAAAUUCAGUAGGUUCAUCCGGCUCGUGCCCGUUACGCAUGUGAACCAAUGAGACUGCAUCUAAUCUUGAGGCAGUGAACUAGGGUGGUACCGCGAAUCGAAAGACUCUUCGCCCCUUGC
rnacentral:ncRNA from 1 species